rnacentral:tRNA from 1 species
AGUUAAUUAAGCUUUAGAUCAAGCGUAUACCUUGAAAGUAUAAGACAAAGGCUAAAUUCCUUUAUUAACUU